ACCCCAGUGUCACAGUGCUGGCACAGGGCUUGGCACAGGGGCACCCCAGUGCUGGCACCACAGGCUGCUGCUCCCCACGUUCUGCCCCCAGCAGGACUUGGAGGAUGCCACGAUUCCAGACUAAUUCUUAGACAACUGAUCAGCAUCACAACCUACCUUGAGAAUUCCUCCUGCAGCAGCUGAAGAUGGGAGCACUGUGUGGCAGCAGCAGGAAUGGGAAGCUCCUACAGCAUGAGGUGGAAUGGGUGUUGGGAAUUUUUUGCUUCAGAAUUUGGGGCAAAGCUGUGCAAGACUUCCUGAACUUCUUUGUUGGUGUGAGUGUUCAAGCACUCCAGAUUCUUCCUGCUACAAAGGAAAAAAUGGGAAUGCUUAAACUGCUAAACACCAGCCUGUGAGGAGUACAACGUUAGAAAUUGAUUCUGAGGAUUUCCUUUUUCCCUGGAUGCUGUUCUUCUCCUCCUGGCUGGAUUUCCACCCAAAGGAAAAUAUCUAUGGAAAAAAUCUGGAGAAGAAACACCAAUGCAGAACUGGGUGUGCUGAGGAAAAUUCAGCAUCUGAACAUCACCUUCCCUGGCAGAAGAGUCUUGAGGAGGAACUUGAGUUCAGGGGUUGUGCCCAAGCAUUCAAGGCAGUGUGUAAGGAAAUCCAAAUGAAGGACAUCA